rnacentral:rRNA from 1 species
GAUGAACGCUAGCGGGAGGCCUAACACAUGCAAGCCGAGCGGUAUUGUUUCUUCGGAAAUGAGAGAGCGGCGUACGGGUGCGUAACACGUGUGCAACCUGCCUUUAUCUGGGGAAUAGCCUUUCGAAAGGAAGAUUAAUACUCCAUAAUAUAUUGAACGGCAUCGUUUAAUAUUGAAAGCUCCGGCGGAUAGAGAUGGGCACGCGCAAGAUUAGCUAGUUGGUGAGGUAACGGCUCACCAAGGCGAUGAUCUUUAGGGGGCCUGAGAGGGUGAUCCCCCACACUGGUACUGAGACACGGACCAGACUCCUACGGGAGGCAGCAGUGAGGAAUAUUGGUCAAUGGGUGCAAGCCUGAACCAGCCAUCCCGCGUGAAGGACGACUGCCCUAUGGGUUGUAAACUUCUUUUGUAUAGGGAUAAACCUACCCUCGAGAGGGUAGCUGAAGGUACUAUACGAAUAAGCACCGGCUAACUCCGUGCCAGCAGCCGCAGUAAAAC